AGGAUUCCGAGUACUUGAGUAUGAAAUUGCAAAAUCUACUGCGCAGAUCAGAGUUAUCGGACUCAGCUGUUAAAGGCUUGCUUGAUCACAGGACAAAAAGAGUUUUCUGCAAUACUUUUGGAGGUUGUACAAGUCUUUUGCGCUCCGUUGCAUUGAAAAACAGAAGAGCGUCCGUGCUUUCGUCUCACUGAAAUCGUCGACUUUCAAAUAAAUUAAGAUGGAAGAAUUAUUGCAAAUUAUGGAAUCGAUUGUACACAUUACCGCCAUCCGAAAUAAAUUUUCAUGUAUUUCACUGAAUUAAAAUAGUUUUUCCCUAAAAAGGAAUUUAAAUCCUGUAGUCUUCAA